UACGUAGGGUGCGAGCGUUAAUCGGAAUUACUGGGCGUAAAGCGUGCGCAGGCGGUUAUGAAAGACAGGCGUGAAAUCCCCGGGCUUAACCUGGGAACGGCGCUUGUGACUCCAUAGCUCGAGUACGGCAGAGGGGGGUGGAAUUCCACGUGUAGCAGUGAAAUGCGUAGAGAUGUGGAGGAACACCGAUGGCGAAGGCAGCCCCCUGGGUCGAUACUGACGCUCAUGCACGAAAGCGUGGGGAGCAAACAGGAUUAGAAACCCCCGUAGUCC
rnacentral:rRNA from 1 species